UCCCUGGUGGUCUAGUGGUUAGGACUCGGUGCUUUCAUUGCUCUGGCCUGGGUUCCAUCCCUGGUCUGGGAA
rnacentral:tRNA from 1 species